rnacentral:rRNA from 1 species
GACGAACGCUGGCGGCGUGCUUAACACAUGCAAGUCGAACGGAAAGGCCCGGCUUUUGUGGGGUGCGCGAGGGGCGAACGGGUGAGUAACACGGGAGUAACCUGCGCUGGACGUGGGGAUAACUUGAGGAAACUGGGGCUAAUACCGGAGAGGAGCGCCUGCUGCAUGGUGGGGGUUGGAAAGUUUCGGCGGUUGGGGAUGGACUCGCGGCUUAUCAGCUUGUUGGUGGGGUAGUGGCUUAGCAAGGCAUUGACGGGUAGCCCGCCUGAGUGGGUGACCGGGCACCUUGGGCCUGCGAUACGCACCAGACUCCUAUGGGAGGCAGCAGUGGGGACUCUUGCCCAAUGGGCGGACGCCUGAUGCAGCAGCGCCGCGUGCGGGAUGCCCGCUUUCGGGUUGUAAACCGCUUUCGCCUGUCACGGCGCGUGAGUGACGGUAAUGGGUAAAGAAGCACCGGCUAACUACGUG